UCCUUGAUGGCUCAGUCGGUAAAGAAUCUGCCUGCAAUGCAGAGACCACCUGCCAAUGCAGGAGAUUCAGGUUCAAUCCCUGGGUCAGGGAA
rnacentral:tRNA from 1 species